UAAAGGAGCAACUUACCUCCAUUGUGAUGCAUUGACGCACCAGACUUACAAAAAGCAAAGGUUCAGCCGGGUUUUAAACCCAUUUCUAGACACGAAAGGUCUGCUUCGUGCGAAUGGUCGGCUUGCUAAUUCAAGUCAACCAUAUAAUGACCGCCACCGUAUAAUUAUACCAGAGAGGUGUCCAUUUUCCAUCUUAUUUAUCAGAUAUAUCCACAUCCUAAUGCUUCACGCUGAACAUCGCCUCAUGCAACAUAUACUCCGCCAAGAGGUGUACAUUCCACGACUUAAGCCCCAAAUCAAGAAGUUCAUUUUCAUGUGCAUGGUCUGUACUAUGCAUAAGCAGAAAAUGCGAUCGCAGAUUAUGGCAGCACUUCCACCUGAACUCUGCAAUUUUGUCCUCCCUUUCAUCACUACAGGUAUCGAUUUACAGGGCCUUUUCUGAUAAAGGCACACAUGCUAAAGUCUCCUAACCUCAUGAAAGGCUAUGUGGCUGUUUUUGUCUGUUUCACGACAAAGGCAGUACACCUUGAGCUUUGUACGAUGCGAAUCUGACGGUGGAGGCUUUUCUCGCGGCAUUUGCACGCUUCGUCGGACGACGAGGCUUUCCAUCAUAAUUCAAAUCUCAUUUUAAAAAGAUAGCUGGCAACCACAAAAUUAAUUCUGAAGAAUUCACAACACUGUUAACUAGAAUUGAAGCCGUUCUUAGCUCACUGCCUCUCGCUGCACUCUCGCAAGUUCCCUCCGACUUUACUGCCCUCACGACAGGAUAUUUUCCUAAAGGAGCGCCCAUCCUGGCCACACCUGAGCCAAGCGUGGAAUCGCUCUACUCAUUAAACCGUUGGGAAAGUAUUAAAAUUCUCCAUCAUAGUUUCAAUUACCGAUGGAAAGAUGAUUAUUUAAAGGACCUCCACAGAAGGUACCGAUGGAAAACAACAGAAAAGGCGCCUAAACUUGGAGAUUAUGUCUUAAUCAGAUACUAUUGUCUCCUCCCUGCCGAAGACGGCUUGGCCGCAGAGAGCCGCUCUACUAUGGCUCCGAUGAUCAUAUUCGCUUAGUCGAUCUCCUUACACCAACGGGAACACUAACCAGGCCGCUUGUUAAGCUAUGCUAUUUGCCAACCACCGAUAAAACCGAAAAGUAUACCGAAAAUAACGUAACCGUAACUAAUAAACAAAGAAACAAAAAAUAAAUAAUAACAAAAUCCUCCACUAUCAAUAAGUAACAACAAAAAACAAGAAAAGGGAGUCGAUACACAUGACGACUCACUGCUGUCACAUUACGUGGCACCAAUGCCCAUAUGAAUAUAUAUAUAUGUUAACUAAAAUAACAUCUUUUAACAGAUACAUAUUGAUGCCGAGAUGCCAACUGCCCCCAAGUCCACAGUACGUUCGGCCGUUACUGUUCUGCGCUCGAAGGCUACACCAGUAGCAGCGCCGCGAACAACCAUAGCCACUGCAGCUCCCCGAGCAGUUUCAAAGGCUCCGAAUAAUGACACGCAUUCACAACUCCAAUGCGCAUAUUUAAGGGGAUGACCCCUCAGCAACGCCAGCAGGUCGCUCAGGCACAUGGCCAUUGCUUAAAUUGUCUGGCGCCCACCCAUCUUACGCAGGAGUGCGCAACGUGCUAUCAAUGCCAGAUAUGCAUGUGGCACCAUCAUACGCUACUACGCCGCAUCGCCGCACUCGACGGCGGGCGUCAUGAUGCGCCUUGCAAUCGUAAUGCCAUCAGAGACCCCCGUGCAGGCCGGCAUACCCUACGGAGGACUCACGUUCCUGGCGUCACCGCAAUCCGUAAUGAUAAAACUACACAAGUGUGCACCAACCACAAUCACUCCAUCUGAUUCAGCACCAACGAGAAUAAAGAAGGACCGAUGAACAGAUCCAGUGCAGUUCGUUCUACGACACUAGCAUCGAUCGGUCCUACGUUUUCGCGUCCCGCUUCUAUCCUCCGCCAUCUUUUGCGAAACCCACCGAGUGUUUAAAUAGUUUAAUUUACCUUAAAAUCCGUGUGCUAUAUUAUCAAUAGGUUAAAUAAAACCUCUAUUUGUAUAAAUAUCCACACGGACGGAUAAACCCCUUUUUUCGCUAAUUUUAUUCAACAUUGUCAGUUUUAUUAUAUUUCUUUGUUUGUUCACUGUCUGACUAGCUUUCGAAAAUAAACGUUAGGAUGGAAUGGAUGUAGCAAACAUUUUUAAGUUUUUGAAAGCUAGUUUAUAUAAUUUAGAAAAUUGUGUUUUUAAUUCGUUCCAUAUUUCCAGUGGAUUUUCUGCUAGACUUCCAACUGGAGUGUGCAAAUGUAUGAAUAGCUCUUCUAACAUAUCUAGCAAAUUGUUUUUGUUUAGUUUCCAAUAUUUUUGGACUAACUUAUGAAGAUCAGUCGAAAUACUAAAGGAGUUUUCAGUUUUAUCAAAACUAUCGGAAGAGUCCUUGUCCUUCGCCCAUCGUGAGCAAUAUUUUUAACCCUCAUAAUAGUUCUUGCUUACCAAUUAUAAAUUCUAUUGCCAUUGAGGGUAGUCAAAUUUUUUUGUGGGCGAAAAUAACCAUUUGCAAAAAUGGCGUCGACCAAGCAAGUACGAACUAUGUAUAUAAGUAAUGGUAGAAUUAGAGGUGCAUAACCAUAUCCAUAUAAAACAGCUGAUUGAAUCAAAUUUACGGGGAACAAUGUUUCCAAUUAGAGGUGCGUUACCAUAACAACAUGCCCAUAACCAUAACCAUAGAUAUCAAUUGAAUUUUGAUUUUCGCUGUAACCAUAUAAAGCUCGGAUUGUUUAACGUAAUGCGAUUUUUAAACAGCAAUCAAAUAAUAAUCUAUUAAUUUAAAUGGAUGAUAUUAAAUGAAUAGAAUGUGUGCGGAAUUCGCCAUGCCUACAUAUAUGACAAGAGUCAUGUCGACUUCAAAAAUCAAGAGACAAAAAUGCGCUCUUGGAAGGAAGUCGCCGAUAAUUUGGAAGUUGAUGAAAGUGUUGUUAUGAAGCGUUGGGGCAACUUGAGAGAACGCUUCUCAAAAGAAAUUAGAAUCUCACAAAAUGCUUCAGGAAGUGGCGCAUUCAUAGGAAGGCAGUGGGCGCUAUUUGAAAGUUUGCAAUUUUUUAGAAGUCACAUUAUUCCUCGUCCAAUGCGACAAAGUGCGCCAAUAUUGAAACGCAGCGACGAGAACUAUGACUUUAUAAACAUUUCGUCCGAAUCUAUAUCACAAGAUCUCUCGCCAUCACCUCCAAUUUCCCCUGGGCAGUUAAUUCCGUCCGACCAAUCAACAAUAAUUCUGUCCGAUCAAACAACAGCAAUUCCGUCCGAUCAGUCAAUUCCGUCUAGUCAGCCAUCAGCAAAUCCGUCAUUAACAUCGCGACCACGAAAGCGAAGAGGCAGACAGCUUGACGAGGUGGACACUGCCAUCCUCGGAACAGUGAAAACUUUCCAGGAGGUAUGUGAACUAAGAGCGCGUCGGGAAGAGUUUGAGGCGGAGAUAGGCGGUUUUGGGCGAAUGAUAGGGUUAGUUCGUAAACGCAGUAACUUGGUUGCACUGCAUAUUUGCAGGGGCAACGCGUUCGUCAAAAAAACCUGCGGCAAUACUGCUCUUCGUCAAAAGUUUUUUAAUGCAUGCAGUUGGCAGCACUUCGGCAAAUUGUCGCAGACAUUGCAGUAAUUUUUUUGAAACUGCGUAGAACCAAAGGCGAAAUGGAAGAAUCCCACGAAUUUCCAGCAAAUUAUAUAAAAAUUUUAAUACGAACAAGGCUGGACAUGGAGUCGGAGUUCCAGGAAGGAAGGAAAAAAAAAUCAUUCCUGUGGGGGAGAAUUCUUGAAAUAAUUAAAGAAAAAGUUCCAGAAUUUAAUUUAUCACGGGAUCAGAUUUCCCGUAAAUUUGUGACUCUCUUCUGCACAUAUAAAAGAAUUAAAAAGCGAAAUAGCUUAACAGGGCGUGCUGCAAGUGCUUGGGAGUUUUUUGAAGAAUUUGACGAUGUGUAUGGAACCAGACAUUCCAUUAGUACGCCACCUGAGAAUUUGCAUUCGUCUUUGUCACUGCCAAGUACAAGGAAUGCUUCCAAUGUAAUGGAAGAUAUUGAGGUUUCGAAUGACUCUCCAGGAACCUCGAACAACACAACAUCGACCAAUCUCGGCAGAAGGCGUAGGACAACCAGUGCCAAUGAGUCUCUGGAAUUCCUUGAGGAAGAAGCUAAAAAUGAAAACGGAAAGGCACGUUCAGAUUAUAGAGCUUGAACGGGAAAAGAUGCAAAUAGAGCGCGAGAUAAUACAAACCAUGGCUAGCCUUAGAGAUAUGCUUCAAAAGUUUUUAGAUAAGAUGAUAGUAUUUAGUCUUAAAUAUGAAUAUGGCUGUAAAACAGAGUAAUUGGAGUUUUUUUUUAAUUUAACUUACGAAUAAUUUUAAGUUGUUAAUUAGUACACAAAUAAAACACAAUGGAUUCCACUCAUAA